GAUGGACGCUAGCUACAGGCUUAACACAUGCAAGUCGAGGGGAAACGAUGAGAGAGCUUGCUCUCUUAGUCGUCGACCGGCGCACGGGUGAGUAACGCGUAUCCAACCUGCCUCUGACCAAGGGAUAACCCGUCGAAAGUCGGACUAAUACCUUAUGCAGUCGUCGGAAGUCAUCUGAUGACGACGAAAGAUUUCAUCGGUGAGAGAUGGGGAUGCGUCUGAUUAGCUUGUUGGCGGGGUAACGGCCCACCAAGGCGACGAUCAGUAGGGGUUCUGAGAGGAAGGUCCCCCACAUUGGAACUGAGACACGGUCCAAACUCCUACGGGAGGCAGCAGUGAGGAAUAUUGGUCAAUGGGCGUAAGCCUGAACCAGCCAAGUAGCGUGCAGGAUGACGGCCCUAUGGGUUGUAAACUGCUUUUAGGCGGGGAUAAAGUGAGGGACGUGUCCUUCAUUGCAGGUACCGCAUGAAUAAGGACCGGCUAAUUCCGUG
rnacentral:rRNA from 1 species